rnacentral:tRNA from 1 species
GGUGUAGCUCAAUGAAAGAGUAUGUGCUUAGCAUGUGCAAGGUCCUGGGUUUGAUUCCCAGCACC